rnacentral:lncRNA from 1 species
CAUGCCUAGGCAAAAGCUUGCUGUUAUUGGGAAGGCAUAAUUAUAUUUUGCAGUGUGAGAAGGACAUGAGAUUUGAGGGCCCAUAGCAGAAUGAUAGAGUUUGAAUAUGUGUCCCCACCAAAUCUGAUGUUGAAUUGUAAUCCCCAGUGUUAGGGGUGGGGCUUGAUGGGAGGUGUUUGGGUCAUGGGGGCGGAUCUCUCAUGGCUUGGUGCUGUCUUCACGAUAGUGAGUUUGCACGAGAGAGGGGGGAAGGCAGUGGUGACCUCCCUGCUCCAGGUGCUAUCUGGAGCAUGCUGGGUCAGACCCAGCAAGACAGGCUCAGAGGAGUUAAAGAGGUUCAUGCGGGUGCGCAGAAGUUGUCAGAUGGAGAUC